rnacentral:rRNA from 1 species
AUUGAACGCUGGCGGCAGGCCUAACACAUGCAAGUCGAGCGGAUGAAGGGAGCUUGCUCCUGGAUUCAGCGGCGGACGGGUGAGUAAUGCCUAGGAAUCUGCCUGGUAGUGGGGGAUAACGUCCGGAAACGGGCGCUAAUACCGCAUACGUCCUGAGGGAGAAAGUGGGGGAUCUUCGGACCUCACGCUAUCAUAUGGGCCUAGGUCGGAUUAGCUAGUUGGUGGGGUAAAGGCCUACCAAGGCGACGAUCCGCAACUGGUCUGAGAGGAUGAUAAGUCACACUGGAACUGAGACACGGUCAAGACGCCUAAGGGAGGCAGCAGUGGGGAAUAUUGGACAAUGGGCGAAAGCCUGAUCCAGCCAUGCCGCGUGUGUGAAGAAGGUCUUCGGAGUGUAAAGAACUCUAAGUUGGGAGGAAGGGCAGUAAGUUAAUACCUUGCUGGUGUGACGGUACCAACAGAAUAAGCACCGGCUAACUUCGUG